GGAAUAUUGGACAAUGGGCGAGAGCCUGAUCCAGCCAUGCCGCGUGCAGGAAGACUGCCCUAUGGGUUGUAAACUGCUUUUAUACGGGAAGAAACACCCCCACGUGUGGGGGUUUGCCGGUACCGUAUGAAUAAGAAUCGGCUAACUCCGUGCCCGCAGCCGCGGUAAUACGGAGGAUCCAAGCGUUAUCCGGAAUCAUUGGGUUUAAAGGGUCCGUAGGCGGGUACGUCAGUCAGUGGUGAAAGUCUGCAGCUCAACUGUAGAACUGCCAUUGAUACUGCAUACCUUGAGUAAUUAUGAAGUGGUUAGAAUAUGUAGUGUAGCGGUGAAAUGCAUAGAUAUUACAUAGAAUACCGAUUGCGAAGGCAGAUCACUAAUAAUUUACUGACGCUGACGGACGAAAGCGUAGGUAGCGAA
rnacentral:rRNA from 1 species